GGGAUCGUGCUUCACGCCGCUGUGACGAAGCUCUCCCGGAAAGAUCUCCGGAUCGACACGGAGCACCUCCACCAUCCUCUCUGCUCUCUCCUUUCCUCCCUCCGUUGGAGAGAAAAAUGGCUGCUUUUGGACUCUGCUUUGAGAGAGAAUAAUUUUGGAGCUUCCUCCGCUGGAUAAUCUCGUUUUCAUUCCCGUAAUGGCCUCCUCACAUACUGCUGAUUCCCGCACUACUCCAGAAACGUUUCUGCCAUUUGUUACACUGAAGCAUGUCACCAGAAGCUUUCAAUUCCCAAAACAUAUCUAAUUUAAUCUUAAAAAUUGUUUUUUGAUCUAUGAAACAGGUUGUUUAUUAAAUCCGUGAUGCCAUCAUAUUGUCAAAAAACGAUUUUUAUCUCUCUAUAUAUUAUAUAUUUCCGUGUGCCUAUCAUUCUA